rnacentral:rRNA from 1 species
AUUGAACGCUGGCGGCAGGCCUAACACAUGCAAGUCGAACGAGUGGCGGACGGGUGAGUAAUGUCUGGGAAACUGCCUGAUGGAGGGGGAUAACUACUGGAAACGGUAGCUAAUACCGCAUACAAUCCGAUGUGACCAGAUGGGAUUAGCGAGUGGGUGGGGUAAAGGCUAACCAAGGCGACGCUCCCUAGCUGGUCUGAGAGGAUGACCAGCCGCACUGGAACUGAGACACGGUCCAGACUCCUACGGGAGGCAGCCGUGGGGAAUAUUGCACAAUGGGCGCAAGCCGGAUGCAGCCAUGCCGCGUGUAUGAAGAAGGCCUUCGGGUUGUAAAGGACUGUCAGCGGGGAGGCGUUACCCGCAGAAGAAGCACCGGCUAACUCCGUGCCAGCCGCCGCGGUAAUAC